rnacentral:rRNA from 1 species
GACGAACGCUGGCGGCGUGCUUAACACAUGCAAGUCGAGCGAUGAAGCUCCUUCGGGAGUGGAUUAGCGGCGGACGGGUGAGUAACACGUGGGUAACCUGCCUCAUAGAGGGGAAUAGCCUUCCGAAAGGAAGAUUAAUACCGCAUAAGAUUGUAGUUUCGCAUGAAACAGCAAUUAAAGGAGCAAUCCGCUAUGAGAUGGACCCGCGUCGCAUUAGCCAGUUGGUGAGGUAACGGCUCACCAAGGCGACGAUGCGUAGCCGACCUGAGAGGGUGAUCGGCCACAUUGGGACUGAGACACGGCCCAGACUCCUACGGGAGGCAGCAGUGGGGAAUAUUGCACAAUGGGGGAAACCCUGAUGCAGCAACGCCGCGUGAGUGAUGAAGGUCUUCGGAUUGUAAAGCUCUGUCUUUGGGGACGAUAAUGACGGUACCCAAGGAGGAAGCCACGGCUAACUACGUG